UGUGUCGGUAGUGAAAGCGUGGGGCUCAACCUCAUAUCCAUUAUCGAAACUGCACAGCUAGAGGACGAGAGAGGUUAUUGGAAUUCCCAGUGUAGGAGUGAAAUCCGUAGAUAUUGGGAGGAACACCGAUGGCGUAGGCAGAUAACUGGCUCGUUCCUGACACUAAGGCACGAAAGCGUGGGGAGCAAACGGGAUUAGAUACCCCGGUAGUCCACGCCGUAAACGAUGGAUGCUA
rnacentral:rRNA from 1 species